UACAGGGGGUGCAAACGUUGCUCGGAAUCAUUGGGCGUAAAGCGCACGUAGGCGGUUCGUUAUGUCGGAUGUGAAAGCCCUUGGCUUAACCGAGGAAGUGCAUCCGAAACUGGCGAGCUAGAGUACGAAAGAGGAUCGCGGAAUUCCCGGUGUAGAGGUGAAAUGCGUAGAUAUCUGGAGGAAUACCGGUGGCGAAGGCGGCAUCCUGGACCGAGAUUGACGCUGAGGAGCGAAAGCUAGGGGAGCAAACGGG
rnacentral:rRNA from 1 species